rnacentral:lncRNA from 1 species
CACCACUUGUAUGCCUUCGAGACCUCUACUAGGAUCACUCUAGGAAUCAUUUCUCAAAUGAUCUCACCACACAAAAAUUAGAUUGAAUGUUCAACACUUGAACAAUCUGAUUUUAGGACAAGCAUCACAUGCUUUUCAUUUCUCUCUUCCUUUCCAUUUUUCUUUCUCCCUUUUCUUUAUCUUUUUCCAAACUUUUUUCUUUCUUUUUUCUCUCAUUCCCACGCCUACAAUCAGCUAGAUAUGGGAUGCGAAACUUGGGUUAGCACCUCC